rnacentral:rRNA from 1 species
CCUUGUUUAUCAAAAACAUGUCUUUUUGUUAUUUAUUAUAAGGWCUGACCUGCCCGCUGAAAUUAUUUUGAAGGGCCGCAGUAUUUUGACUGUGCAAAGGUAGCAUAAUCAUUAGUCUUUUAAUUGAAGGCUGGUAUGAAUGGUUGGAUGAGGUGCAUGCUGUGUCAUAAAAAAUAAAGAUUGAAUUUAUCAUUUUAGUUAAAAGACUAAAAUUUUUUUAAAAGACGAGAAGACCCUAUAGAGCUUUAUAUAAGUAGUAUUUAAUUUAUUAAGAUUUUUUAAAUUUAGUUAUUUAUUUAUAUUUUGUUGGGGUGACAAUAAAAUUUGUAAAACUUUUAUUUUUAUUUAACAUUAAUUUAUGAGUAAAUGAUCCAGUUUUAUUGAUUAUAAAUUUAAGUUACCUUAGGGAUAACAGCGUAAUUUUUUUUGAGAGUUCUUAUCGACAAAAAAGAUUGCGACCUCGAUGUUGGAUUAAGAGUAAUUUUGGGUGUAGAAGUUCUCAAA